CCUACGGGUGGCAGCAGUGAGGAAUAUUGGUCAAUGGGCGCUAGCCUGAACCAGCCAAGCAGCGUGAAGGAUGACGGCCCUAUGGGUUGUAAACUUCUUUUAUAUGGGAAUAAAGUGCAGUAUGUAUACUGCUUUGCAUGUACCUUAAGAAUAAGCAUCGGCUAACUCCGUGCCAGCAGCCGCGGUAAUACGGAGGAUCCGAGCGUUAUCCGGAUUUGUUGGGUUUAAAGGGAGCGUAGGCGGGUUGUUAAUUCAGUUGUGAAAGUUCGCGGCUCAACCCUAAAAUUGCAGUUGAUACUGGCAUCCUUGAGUACAGGAGAGGUAGGCGGAAUUCGUGGUGUAGCGGUGAAAUGCAUAGAUAUCCCGAAGAACUCCGAUGGCGAAGGCAGCCUGCUGGACUGUAACUGACGCUGAUGCUCGAAAGUGUGGGUAUCAAACAGGAUUAGAUACCCGAGUAGUC
rnacentral:rRNA from 1 species